AUUGCUUCUCGGCCUUUUGGCUAAGAUCAAGUGUAGUAUCAAAUGUGGAAGUACAUGUAGGUGGAACCAUAAUGGAAUUGUUUUGAGUAACACACAAAUGGAUUUCUGAUGAUGAAUUCUUUGCAGGAUUGCUGGGUUAAAAAAAA
rnacentral:snRNA from 1 species